GACGAACGCUGGCGGCGCGCUUAACACAUGCAAGUCGAACGGAAAGGCCUGCUUUCCCUUGUGGAUUGCGGGUACUCGAGUGGCGAACGGGUGAGUAACACGUGAGUGAUCUGCCCCCAACUUGGGUAUAAGCCUGGGAAACAGGGUCUAAUUCCCGAUAGGACUGCAGGGUGGUGCCUGUGGUGGAAAACGAUUUUCUAGUGGUUGGGGAUGAGCUCGCGGCCUAUCAGCUUGUUGGUGGGGUAAUGGCCUACCAAGGCGGCGACGGGUAGCCGGCCUGAGAGGGUGGACGGCCACAUUGGGACUGGGAUACGGCCCAGACUCCUGCGGGAGGCAGCAGUGGGGAAUAUAGCACAAUGGGCGGAAGCCUGAUGCAGCGACGCCGCGUGGGGGAUGACGGCCUUCGGGUUGUAAACUCCUUUCGACCGCGAGGAAGCCACCUGGUUGGAAGGGUGGUGACGGUAGUGGUAGAAGAAGCACCGGCUAACUACGUG
rnacentral:rRNA from 1 species